rnacentral:rRNA from 1 species
GAUGAACGCUGGCGGUAUGCUUACACAUGCAAGUCGUACGAGAGUUUUUAACUCAAGUGGCGGACGGGUGAGUAACACGUAAGAAUUUGCCUUUAGAGGGGGAUAACAACUGGAAACGAAUGCUAAUACCCCAUAUGCUUUUGAGUGAAAUGGAUUUUAUCCGCCUAGAGAGAAGCUCGCGGCUGAUUAGCUUGUUGGUAAGGUAAGAGCUUACCAAGGCGACGAUCAGUAUCUGGUUUGAGAGGACGAUCAGACACACUGGAACUGAGACACGGUCCAGACUCCUACGGGAGGCAGCAGUGAGGAAUAUUGGACAAUGGGCGAAAGCCUGAUCCAGCAAUACCGCGUGAGUGAAGAAGGCCUUAGGGUUGUAAAGCUCUUUCAGCAGGGAAAAUAAUGAUGGUACCUGCAAAAGAAGUUCCGGCUAACUCCGUG